rnacentral:rRNA from 1 species
AUGGCCGCGUACGCAGCAAAAGGAAGGCGUGGAGUGCGAUCACGCGACGGCCGCAAGCGCCGGGGGGUCGUCGAGGAGAGCGGCGGCUGGGCGUCGCUCCCCAGCGACAUGGUUCGCCUCGUCGCCGCGUGGGUGCUGGUCACCGGGGACGUGGUGGACUACCUGGUCCUCCGCGCCGUCUGCUCCGGUUGGCGAGCAUGCACGCCCGACGGCCGCAUUGGAAGCCUAGGGAGAAAGAAGCAGCUGUGCCUCCGCCCGCGCGGCUGGGUCGCGCUUUGCGACGGCGACGCGGUGCGCCCGGACGGCGCCCGCGCGGUCACCUUCUUCAAGCCCAGCACCGGCCGCCGCCUCCGUGUCCGCCUCCCGAACCUCCGGGGCUACAGGAUCGUCGCCAUUAGCGACGGCCUCCUCGUCCUGCUCCACAAGCGCACCACCGCCGUCCGCGUGCUCCACCCCUUCACCCGCGCAGUGCUCGACCUCCCGCCCAUCGCCCCGACCUUCCGCGUGAUGGCAGGGAGCCGGGACUCUCUCCUCCGCAUG